rnacentral:rRNA from 1 species
GGCAACAGCUCAAAUUUGAAAUCUGGCUUCGGCCCGAGUUGUAAUUUGCAGAGGAUGUUUCUGGCGCGGUGCCUUCCGAGUUCCCUGGAACGGGACGCCACAGAGGGUGAGAGCCCCGUAUGGUCGGACACCAAGCCUGUGUGAAACUCCUUCAACGAGUCGAGUAGUUUGGGAAUGCUGCUCUAAAUGGGAGGUAAAUCUCUUCUAAAGCUAAAUACCGGCCAGAGACCGAUAGCGCACAAGUAGAGUGAUCGAAAGAUGAAAAGCACCUUGAAAAGGGGGUUAAAUAGUACGUGAAAUUGUUGAAAGGGAAGCACUUAUGACCAGACUUGGGCCGGGCGGCUCAUCAGGGGUUCUCCCCUGUGCACUCCGCCCGGCACAGGCCAGCAUCGGUUUUCGCGGGGGGAUAAGACCGACGGGAACGUAGCACCCUCCGGGGUGUGUUAUAGCCCGGCGGACGAUACCCUCGCGGGGACCGAGGUCCGCGCUCCGCAAGGAUGCUGGCGUAAUGGUCAUCAGUGACCCGUCUUGAAACACGGACCAAGGAGUCGUCCAUUAGAGCGAGCGUUUGGGUGUAAAACCCGCACGCGUAAUGAAAGUGAACGCAGGUGAGAGCUUCGGCGCAUCAUCGACCGAUCCUGAUGUUCUCGGAAGGAUUUGAGUAAGAGUUUUAACGGACGGACCCGAAAGACAGUGAACUAUGCUUGUAUAGGGUGAAGCCAGAGGAAACUCUGGUGGAGGCUCGCAGCGGUUCUGACGUGCAAAUCGAUCGUCAAAUAUGAGCAUGGGGGCGAAAGACUAAUCGAACU